rnacentral:rRNA from 1 species
UACGUAGGGGGCAAGCGUUGUCCGGAAUUAUUGGGCGUAAAGAGCUCGUAGGCGGUUUGUCACGUCUGCUGUGAAAUCCCGAGGCUCAACCUCGGGCCUGCAGUGGGUACGGGCAGACUGGAGUGCGGUAGGGGAGAAUGGAAUUCCUGGUGUAGCGGUGGAAUGCGCAGAUAUCAGGAGGAACACCGAUGGCGAAGGCAGCUCUCUGGGACGGUACUGACGCUGAGACGCGAAAGCGUGGGGAGCGAACAGG